GAUGAACGCUAGCUACAGGCUUAACACAUGCAAGUCGAGGGGUAGCAGGGUAGCAAUACCGCUGACGACCGGCGCACGGGUGUGUAACACGUAUCCAACCUUCCCAUAACUCGGGGAUAGCCUUUCGAAAGAAAGAUUAAUACCCGAUAGUACUUUUUCAAGGCAUCUUGAGAAAGUUAAAGAUUUAUUGGUUAUGGAUGGGGAUGCGUUCCAUUAGAUAGUUGGUGAGGUAACGGCUCACCAAGUCUUCGAUGGAUAGGGGUUCUGAGAGGAAGGUCCCCCACAUUGGUACUGAGACACGGACCAAACUCCUACGGGAGGCAGCAGUGAGGAAUAUUGGUCAAUGGGCGAGAGCCUGAACCAGCCAAGUAGCGUGAAGGAUGAAGGUCCUAUGGAUUGUAAACUUCUUUUAUAGUAGAAUAAAGUGAUCCACGUGUGGAUUUUUGUAUGUAUACUAUGAAUAAGGAUCGGCUAACUCCGUGCCAGCAGCCGCCGUAAAAC
rnacentral:rRNA from 1 species